UUUGCUUACCGUAGCCCUGUAGUAUAGCUUGAAGUCAGGUAGCAUGAUGCCUUCAGUUUUGUUCUUUUUGCUUAAGAUUGUCUUGGCUAUUCGCAAGCCCAAGUCUUCAGACUGCUUUAUUCUGUUCUUUCUACCAUGCAGGUUCCCAUGGCAACCCCAUUAAAUUGCCCAAACGCAGUGGUGAGCAGGAGGCAAGUAAAACCAAGAUGGAGCAAGAACUUCCAUCAGACCCGUGACCACAUUUCCCCAGACUUGGAGGAAUCUGGGGAAUGGUGCACCUGGGAGACUCCUGGCCUCUGUAAUAACCCUCAUGUAGCACAGAAGGCAGAGAAACAGCAACCCCACCAGGCUUCCCAGGCCUGAGGAACAAAGAGGGCCUGGACAGGGAGCAUCUCAGCAGGAACUGAGACGAACGGUGGCUUGAAGGGUUGGGGACGCCUUCCUGCAUCUUUUUCUCUGGUGGAGAAGACAGAGAGGCCUUUGCUCUCUUUCCUGGAGCUGAGGUUUGGACAGUGAGGAGAAGCUCCAAAAGAAACUGAGAGUGAAUUACUGUACCCAUCAGAAUCAAGUCUCCAAGUAAGAUUUAACUUAAUUUAGAAGAAAGGUAACCUUACUUUCCCAUUGUUAUGGACUAAGCUUCGUACCGUGUACAUAUGUAUAGAAAAAUACUAGGUACUUGUAUUAAUCAUGGCUUUUACUUUCUGUAUUCUGAUGCUUUGGCACCUGGGGCCUUGCUGACUCUGGAGGGACUGCCCCUCCCUGGAUGAGUCAAUUCCUAGAGACAGCGAACAACUUGUCCAUGAGUAUGUCUUGGAAAUGCAAACCAAUCAAUCCAGAGCCCAAGCUCCAGCCACCUCCAUGAUAAGGCUCUGGGUCACUACUCACCUGCCCUAAUCAUCCCAGGGCCAGGACCAGACAACAGAGACAGCCCCUAUGCACCAGAGCCACUGGAAUUAUUUAAACCAGUCAAUCUGAAGCCCCCUUACCCUGCCUGACCUGUUCCUUCCCAUGAAACCACAAUAAGAGCUCUUGCCCACAGUUUACCCCUCCUUCCGCCUCCUGAUGUUUCCCUGUGGCCCUCUCCCCCCAUGGCAUGGCAUACACCCUCCUUUUGGGAACUGUAAUAAACUAUCUCUUAAUGGCAAU
rnacentral:lncRNA from 10 species